rnacentral:rRNA from 1 species
AUUGACCGCUGGCGGCAGGCCUAACACAUGCAAGUCGAGCGCGCGGCGGGCGGGUAAGUAAUGCCUGGGAAACUGCCUGUUUGAGGAGGAUAACUACUGGAAACGGUAGCUAAUACCGCAUACGAUCGGAACUGCCCAGCUGGGAUUUGCUAGUAGGUGGGGUAACUGCUCACCUCGGCGCCGCUCCCUAGCUGAGCUGAGAGGCUGACCAGCCACACUGGAACUGAUACACGGUCCAGACGCCUACGGGAGGCAGCAGUGGGGAAUAUUGCACAAUGGGCGCAAGUCUGAUGCAGCCAUGCCGCGUGUAUGAAGAAGGCCUUCGGGUGGGAAAGUACUGUCAGCGGGGAGGCGUUACCCGCGGAGGAAGCACCGGCUAACUCCGUGCCAGCAGCCGCGGUAAUAC